CUUUUCAUUUUAGACCCAUGUUAUCAUCCAUGCAGUGACCACCCCUGACCAGACUAUAUAUGUGUUUCCAUUUAAAGAUCAUGGGCCCUACUGUCCUGCUG